rnacentral:rRNA from 1 species
UACAGAGGGUGCAAGCGUUGUUCGGAAUUACUGGGCGUAAAGCGCACGUAGGCGGCUUUGUAAGCUAGAGGUGAAAGCCCGGGGCUCAACUCCGGAAUUGCCUUUAAGACUGCAUCGCUAGAAUUGUGGAGAGGUAAGUGGAAUUCCGAGUGUAGAGGUGAAAUUCGUAGAUAUUCGGAAGAACACCAGUGGCGAAGGCGACUUACUGGACACAUAUUGACGCUGAGGUGCGAAAGCGUGGGGAGCGAACCGG